rfam:Synergistes sp. 3_1_syn1 genomic scaffold supercont1.5, whole genome shotgun sequence.
GGUUAAGGUACAACAUAGCACGAGGGGAAUGCCUUGGCGCUGAAUGCCGAAGAAAGACGCAGCAAGCUGCGAAAAGCCGCGGGGAGGAGCAAGCAUCCCGUGAUCCGCGGAUCUCUGAAUGGGGCAACCUUCACAGAGUAACCUGUGAGCCUAUCCAAUAGGCGGCAACCCGGGGAAGUGAAACAUCUCAGUACCCGGAGGAAAAGAAAUCGUAAGAGAUACCCCAAGUAGUGGUGAGCGAAAGGGGCAUAGCCCAAACCAUAUACAUGCCAAGCCUGCAGGCGUUGUGUAAAUGGGGUAGAGGGACCUGUCGCGGAGUCCUGCAGAACUCCGAAAGAGUUACAAAGCCGUUUUAUAACCGAAUCGAGUUGGAAAAUCGAGCCAU